CGGGUGGAGAUGAGGUUGGGGGUUUGCUGCGGCUCUGCUGUUUUUUGUUUUUUUUCUUUAAAGAGAGUUUACACCGGGCGUGGUGGUUCACGGCUGUAAUUCUACCACUUGGGACACGGAGGCGAGAUUGUGAGUUCGAGAUCAUCUUGCACCCCUCUUAUAAAGGCCUGGUCUAAUCUACAGCUGAUGUUCUGCCCAUUGUCCAGUAGAGGUCACCCUUGAGCAUCUGGAAGAGACUGGCUGUUGAGCUGUGCAAGCACUAUUCACAAUAGCCAAGUUAUGGAAACAGCCAAGAUGCCCCAGCAC